AUUGAACGCUGGCGGCAUGCUUUACACAUGCAAGUCGAACGAGUGGCGCACGGGUGAGUAACGCAUCGGAACGUACCGAGUAGUGGGGGAUAACUGUCCGACAGUACCUCUAAUCCCGCAUAUUCUUCUAGCGCCCGAUGUCUGAUUAGCUGGUUGGCGGGGUAAAGGCCCACCAAGGCGACGAUCAGUAGCGGGUCUGAGAGGAUGAUCCGCCACACGGGGACUGAGACACGGCCCAGACUCCUACGGGAGGCAGCAGUGGGGAAUUUUGGACAAUGGGCGCAAGCCUGAUCCAGCCAUGCCGCGUGUGUGAAGAAGGCCUUCGGGUUGUAAAGGACUUUUGGCAGGGAAGCGGUACCUGAAGAAGAAGCACCGGCUAACUACGUGCCAGCAGCCGCGGUAAUUC
rnacentral:rRNA from 1 species